rnacentral:rRNA from 1 species
AUUGAACGCUGGCGGCAGGCCUAACACAUGCAAGUCGAGCGGAGUGGCGGACGGGUGAGUAAUGCCUAGGAAUCUGCCUGGUAGUGGGGGAUAACGUCCGGAAACGGGCGCUAAUCCCGCAUACUAUCAGAUGAGCCUAUGUCGGAUUAGCUAGUUGGUGGGGUAAAGGCCUACCAAGGCGACGUGCCGUAACUGUUCUGACAGGAUGAUCAGUCACACUGGAACUGAGACACGGUCCAGACCCCGACGGGAGGCAGCAGUGGGGAAUAUUGGACAAGGGGCGAAAGCCUGAUCCAGCCAUGCCGCGGGGUGGAAGAAGGUCUUCGGAUUGUAAAGCACUUUAAGUUGGGAGGCGUUACCAACAGAAUAAGCACCGGCUAACUCCGUGCCAGCAGCCGCGGUAAUAC